UCUUCUCAUACUUUUUCCAUUCCUUGUCUCCUCCUCCAUCUCUACAAACUAAUAGAUCCCUAGUUUUCCAUUUCUUUUGGUUGUGGGUGAUUCACACCUACCUCUGUUAUCUUCUCUUCUUUCUCUGCUCACAGAAAGGUAUCUUUCAAUGGAUGCAGUGGAUUCGAAGAUAAUUUUGAAAGAGGUACCAAAUCAUGAGUGUUAUUUAAGACAUCCUCUGUAAGAUCCUCUCCUUCAUUUCUACAUUUGCUUCUAUUUGUUUCCUCCUCUUUGAUGUAUCUUUGAUUUUUCAGAUAAAUCAGAGAUUGAGAUAUCCAAAUGCUUUUGAUCUCUUAAUCAAAGGCUUUCUUUUCCAUCCCAAUAAUAUGUAUUGCUAAUAUUAAAUUUAAGGAAUAUAAUAUUAGUGUUUAUUAAUCGAUUAUGUUAAUUUUAUCCAUAUUAGACUCUAUAUAAUGACAGGGAACUAUACACUACACUUUGGAUUUCUAAUCUAAUUUGAAAUAAUUUUUGAAAUAACAAUGUGGCCUAGAUGCAAAAGGCUCUCAAGGCUUUAGAUGUGUCCAUAAUUCCUCAUAAUGUAUCUUGUCUGUAUCGUGGAACAUCCACAAUAUGGCAUUUAAUUUUUUA